GUGUAAUCAUGUCGUAAUUUCCUGUUGAGCUUCCUGUACCGGAGGCUAUAUAAUGGACUAACUGGUCCACGUGCGUGUAUUCUAAUCUGCUGGUGUACUUUAAUAUUGAGCUCAUGUCUAGUCUAAUGGAUGGACCAUAAAUCACAGAAGGUAUAGAGUCUACAUGUACGUCUUUAGUUCCAAAGCAGGACUCAGCUGGGUUGGAUCAGAGUCUGUACACGUACACACGUACAAAGAGUUACUAUAUGAAUUGCUUCUGAAUGACAUACCGACUGGUGACUCUUCGUCGGUAUGACUGGUUCCAUCGUCCUCUAGUAUGGUUUGCCAUUCUGCUGGGCAUGGCUCACCAGACUUUCCAAAACGAUACUCAAGCCACUCUCUAAAUUGUACAUACAUUUUCCCCUCCUCUCGAGCACGGGGGGAUUCCUCUCUGACAAACUUCUUCUGCAAUUUGAAACAACGUAACAGUGCAAUUCAUGAUCAUAGAACAUCGUCACCAAGAGUGUCAAGUUCUUGAGGGAAUUUGCCGUAUGGAUUCAAUCCAAGGACCUUGUUUGGAGUGUAAGCGUAAGUGGUAUAAUUAUUAGUGAUAAAAUUUUACCUUUCUCCUCUCAUCGACCCUGUACUCACUAAAUUUCUUUUUUAACCACCGCAAACUGCGUCCAAUUUUUCGGGGUCAUUUGCAUCUCUGUCCAUUGCUUGUGUGGCCAGUGACUACGUGAAUAACAUGUAUUUUCAUAAAUAUUAGUGCAUUGUUGAAUACGCACUUGUAAUGUUUCAUCAUCCACUUCUCUCCUCAAGGAGCGUAAAAACACUGCACCCAGUUUGGACUUGAGUGUAUGCUAAGUCAAAGGUAAUAUUAUUUUAUGACCUGUGGCAUAAUUAUACACACCAUGUACUCUGUUUUUUCAACGGAAAAGAUAGGUUUUGUGGUCUUGACAUUUUGGAGGCACUGCUGUUGUCCACUUUCUAGUUUGACCAGCCUUGUAUUAAUUUCCUUUAGCUCUUUGAGAAUAUUCUAUAGUUAAUGACAAAGGCGUGCAUGUAUAUACACCAGUUAAUGUAAUUAUCAUGCUUCUAUUAUUAUACCUCCAGCAAGACUUUGUUUUGUAUAGACUGUACCACUAAAGCACUUGAGCCUGAAGAGGAUUCACCUGUAUUAAAUAAUGUUAUUCAACUGAUUUAUCCACAUUUUAAAUCUUUUACCCGCUGUUUUUGUAUAUUUGAGUCGAUACUUCUCCCCUGCCACUACUUUGGUUUUAGUAGAUAGCAAACGCUGUGUGUGUGUGUAUGGUUCAAUGUUAGGAUUUUAAGUGUUAGCACCUAAUAUUUUAACAUACCCCACUGCUGUCCAUCAACGAUUUGUUGGUCACGUCUAUCCCGCUGGACCGCAUUCCUUUGAGAAGACUCUCAACCGUCCCUGCAGUCAUUACCCCAGAUUUCCCAUUUUCUAACUCGACUCGUACCUGACCCCUGUGUGUGAGCAUAGUUUUUGUUUUACUCACUGUUUCUCUAUUCACUAACUGUUUCUCUUUUUCUGUUGCAGGCCGAGGAAGUACACUCGAUGAAAAGGGAAUGGUGAACUGCUGCUGUACAUAUAUUUUUAUCAUAAUUAUUUUAGCAACUCAUUUUUAGCUUGUAGAGUUAUUCCAGUAAUUACUGUUGUGCUUUACCUUGUUCUUGUUGGCUUUACUCAUUCUCUC